rnacentral:rRNA from 1 species
GACGUAGGGCGCGAGCGUUGUCCGGAUUUAUUGGGCGUAAAGAGCGUGUAGGCGGCUUUACAGGUCCGUUGUGAAAACUCGAGGCUCAACCUCGAGACGCCGGUGGAAACCGUAAGGCUAGAGUCCGGAAGAGGAGAGUGGAAUUCCUGGUGUAGCGGUGAAAUGCGCAGAUAUCAGGAGGAACACCGAUGGCGAAGGCAGCUCGCUGGGACGGUACUGACGCUGAGGAGCGAAAGCGUGGGUAGCAAACAGG